rnacentral:lncRNA from 1 species
CCGCCUGAGGGGGUAUUGGCAACACCUAGAGUGAUGUCACAAGGGGUGGGGCGGGCUUUGACACGCCCCCUACCGGACCCUCUAAUCCCGUUUCCCUCGCCCUCUGCCUGCCUCAGGUGGGGGCCCAAACCAUGCUGGGCUGAGGCGCUGUCCGUGGGCGGGGAGCUGAGCGCAGAAACAGGGGAUCCCCCAGAGAGGGCCCAGCCCAGCCCCAGGCUGGGCGCGUACAAAAGGCGACUUGUUCUUCCUCGGGAUGCCUGCGCCUUCUCAAACAUACCUACAGCCGGACUCCGGGGACUGCUACACCCACACAGCGGCACAAAGCCUGACAGAGUGGGGAGAGGGGGGCUUUCGUUGGCCAGCCCUUGGCCAGCCCUAAAGGAUACAUCAGUCAACACAGGCUUGGAGCCUGUCAGAGCUAGAAGGUGCCUUAGGGAGUCACUAAUCUGGCCUCCUCCGCUCAGCAGGAAGAAACAGAGACCCACAGAGGGAAAGCAGCUUGCCCAGUCACACAGCCGAAGUGCUGGUUCCAGCUUAUUCCUCCUUUACACUCCUUCUCUGGCAGUCUUCUAUGGGUUGGAGUUGGAAGAAGCAGACAGUCAACCCAGAAAGGCCUCAGUGAAGCAGAGAGAGACCACAGCCGUAUGUGUGAGUCUAAAUCUCACUACCCCAAUCAACUCACCCCAACUUUCUGUGAAUUGAGGCUCAGCUAGAUAUUAUAACUGAGUCUGUUUUAAACCAUUAUCUAGUACAUUUCUUAUUCAAUUCCCAAUAGUUAGAUCCCCAGCAAGAGAGUGGCUCUAGAUCAGUAGUAACAAAUGUAUGACACUUGUGCUGCAGCGGGCUGUUUGUAUCAUUGAAGGCUCUAAAAGGUUUGCCAUCACUGCUCUAGAUCGUCUUCCAUGUUAACCUUCUAUGGAUCUAGAUUCCAGUCUGACACCCCAAACUUGUUUGCUUAGAUCACUGUUUAAUAAGGUUUAAACCUGCACGCACCCUCAGGAGGAAUACGGUUCUACAUUAGGAGAUGGCAAACUAUAGCCCAUGGGCCAAA